AGUGAACGCUGGCGGUAGGCCUAACACAUGCAAGUCGAACGGCAGCACAGUAAGAGCUUGCUCUUACGGGUGGCGAGUGGCGGACGGGUGAGGAAUACAUCGGAAUCUACUUUUUCGUGGGGGAUAACGUAGGGAAACUUACGCUAAUACCGCAUACGACCUACGGGUGAAGGCAGGGGAUCUUCGGACCUUGCGCGAUUGAAUGAGCCGAUGUCGGAUUAGCUAGUUGGCGGGGUAAAGGCCCACCAAGGCGACGAUCCGUAGCUGGUCUGAGAGGAUGAUCAGCCACACUGGAACUGAGACACGGUCCAGACUCCUACGGGAGGCAGCAGUGGGGAAUAUUGGACAAUGGGCGCAAGCCUGAUCCAGCCAUACCGCGUGGGUGAAGAAGGCCUUCGGGUUGUAAAGCCCUUCUGUUGGGAAAGAAAAGCAGCAGGUUAAUACCCCGCUGUUCUGACGGUACCCAAAGAAUAAGCACCGGCUAACUUCGUG
rnacentral:rRNA from 1 species